GAAAAUCGUUUCAGCUUAUAUCUUUGUGAAGCUUAUUGUAAGUAAUCAUAAUUUUUUAUUUGAAUAAAAACAUUAAUUUACUCACUUUUAUCUAUUAUAAAAAUAUAGAAAAUGUUAUCAAUGCUUUCGUUUCAUGUUACCUUGCAUUAAAUUGCUUUAUGUUUUAAAAUUUUAUAUUCUAGAGGCAUAGUAACAUUUGCAAUUACAAUACAAAUUGAGUUACGGAGAGACUCAAAAUAGUGAUCCUUAUUUCAAAUACUUGUAUUGUAAACUGUCUUUUUUUUUGUGAUUUUACUUUUUAAACACUUUGUGAAACGUGCGUCUGGCGCAUAUACAAAAUUUCAAUCUUGGGUAUAUAUGAUAAGUUUAUUUACAACUGCUGGGUUGAUGCCACUGCUGGUUGAGUUUUUAUUCUCCGAGGGUAUCACCAGCCUAGUAGUCAUCACUUCUGUGUUGAUAUGAAUUAUCAUUGAUAUAGUCUGUUUACAAAACACGGAAGAAAACAACAAUCCUCAAACUUAAAUAUAAAGCUGACUAAAACGUUAUCAGAUAUCAAAAAUUUAAUAAAUAUAAAACAAUAGAUCAAAUAUAAACUGAUAAAAUUGUUUUUCAAGAACUUCAGGAAGAAAAAUUAAGAGAAUUGUACAUCAACUGCUACGCUUUCUCCACUGUUAUAAUCAAAUGUCGAAAUUAUGGGGAAAUGUUUAUAAAUAUACACAUCAUAGAUACAACACUUGAAAUUUGUAUAUGCGUCAGGCGUGCGUUCGUCUACAAAAGUGGCAUGUUUCCCCUUUAACACAUGGUGUAUUGUUGAAUUUAUUGAUAUUUGAUAAUUAUACACUUGAAUGGAAGUUCAUAUCUGACUCUUACACUACCGAUCAGAUCUUUUCACAACAAUAUCAAAACAAAGAAUAAAAUGGAUGUAAAGAUUUAACGACAAUAAGUUAAAAUUUACACUUUCUCUGAAAUGGUCGAAACAAUCCGGUCUCUUAUGGCCGACAUCCAUAUGAUUUCUCUUUCCGUUUGACUUAAACUUCAAGAGAUAAGCCAUUUCUCGUUUUAAGUGCAUAGGGAAGAAAAUCAAGUAAUCUUCAAAAAAACGAUGACACUAACUAUAUUUUUAAUCAAUAUAGAGCGCAUGGCAAAACGUCAUAGUCCCCUCUCAUACAUAGAUAUCAGAAGAUGUUGUAUGAGUGUCAAUGAGACAACACUCAAUCAAAGUCACAAUUUAUAAAAGUAAACAAUUAUAGAGCAAAGUGACACACUGUACAGCAAUCUAUAAAGGACCACAACAAUGACAAAUGUCAAACCAUUCAAACAGGAAAACGAAGUCUCUAAUCUAUAUAAAACACAAGAAUCGAACAAAAAUUUAUUUAUCACAUUAUCAAACGACAAGCCCGUACAACAGGUUAAAAGCAUACUUUACUUGUUAUAGGGUCGAUCUUAUGAUAAUGUUAUAAUUAUAAAUUAAAAGUUUUUUACAUUAACGUUUUCUUCGAAAUUACUUUAACUUUUUCUUCAAAAUUACAAUAACUUUUUCUUCGAAAUUACAUUAGUUUUUUCUUCGAAAUUUUAAGAAUUUUAAACCCCUGGUUUUGGUAAAACCAUAGGAAUUAUGGGUAUACAAUGCUCUUCCACUACGUACUUAUUUUCGCCGUUUAAACUAUUUUUUGUUUGAGCGUCACUGAUAAGUCCUAUUUAGACGAGACGCCCAUCUGCCAUACACAAUAUAAGGCCUGGAUAAUUUUAUUAGUUUAUACUUAUAUAUUUUCUAUAUGUUCCACAUUAUCAAGGACGGAUUACAUACUGGCUUCGACUAGCUGUAUUUCGAUUCACAUGAUAACUAUCCAUACAGGCUUGAAAUCUUCCAGUAACUGUCGUGCUUUGGGUUCAAUGCAAUGUUGGACAACUGUUGAUAUUAUAUUGAUAUUUAUUCUGAUGAUAAACUCGUGGAGCGUUGGUAAAAUAAAAUGCGUGAUAUAAGUUUUCUAAGGAAAUUAAAACUUUGCGUGUGACUUACCUGUAUUAUGCCUUAUAAAUAUCUUUUAAUUAUUUGAUCCUAAUUUUCAAACUUUUUAAAUUAAGUACUUUUAUCUGUUUAUAGGCAAAUAAAAAAUGGAGAGUUCCCUUGUCACCAUCCUAUGGUGUUUAUAUAGCUCAACUUUUACGAUUUGCUCGUGUAUGUAACAACGUAUUAUUUUAAGCGAAAGAAAUCUAUGAAUUACUGAAAAAUAUUACACUAGGGUUUUCGAUGUCACAAACUAGUCAAAUCAUUUAAUAAAUUUUAUCAACAUGCUAACAUCUUAUAUGUUCAGGUAUUUCACAUUCGAUCUUUUAUGUUAAUAAAUAAUAGCACUAAAAUGUCGGCAUUCACCUGAAAAGCUUACAAAACCUUUAAACAGACUUAUAAAGAAAGGAUAUAGUUACAAUACUGUUGUCAAGGCAUUUAAAGAUGACAUAUUAUGGCUUUAAAAUUGAUUCACUUAUAGAGUGUUUGCAUAGGAUAUAUCACAUAUAUCAUAAAACAAGUUGUAGACUGCUAGUAGUCUUUUGCUAAUUUAUGUAUCAUUGUCAUUUUGUUUAGUUUCUUUCGUUACCUUUUCUCACAUCCAUCAUACUGGACCUUUUUAACUGAGUUUUACUGUGCGUAUUGUUGUGUGUAUGUUUUCUAUAUUGGCUAGAUGUAUAGAGGAGGGUUAAGAUCUCAAAAACAUGCUUAACCCCGCCGCAUUAUUGUCUCAACUCAGGAGCCUCUGGCCCUUGUUAGUUUUGUAUGAUUUUCAAUGUUAGCUCAUUUAUAUAUAUUGAAGAGAUUAGUAUGAAGUCCAAUAUAACUGAACUAGCACACAAUUUUGUCUAUGGGCCAGCUGAAGCAAGCCUCCGUGUGCGGGAUUUUCCUGCUGUAUUGAAGGCCCAUUGGUGGCCGUUGGUUGUUUUCUGUCCUUAAGUUGGGUUUUUGUCUCUUUGACACAUUCCCCAUUUCCUAUCAAGUUCAGUAACUGAUCAAGCUUUAAACUACUCGUUAAAAUGGCAUACGGAUGGAACUCAAUUCAAAGCCCUUAUAAUUAAUGAUGACGAUUACUUCAGUUAAAAUCACAUAAGACGUAUGGAAACAUGUUAUGGAUUUCUAUUUAUGCAUCCCAUGUAUAUAAUUCUCUUCAGUUAAUUCAGACCAGAUAUUUACAAUAUAAAAGUAUAUUUAGAAAGCAAUUGUACUCACGAUUUGAGUCAGGUUGCUUGGAGGGAGAACACCAAACUAUUUAAGUGUUUUGGAACAGCUAAGAACUGUUUUCCUUUUUUAACUAAAAGAACUUCAAAUAGAUAUCAAUGACAAAAAAUAAAAAUUUAUGCAUGUAACUCAUAAAAAGGCAAAUCCCUGGUUUAUAGUUCACACUCACGAUAAUAACAAUUAAAAAAAGCGGAUCUAUAACAUUACUGUACUUUUAACAUGUUGUUUUUUCGUGUGACAAAAUAAACACAGAGCACAUAAGAAAUUGAAAGUUACUGAUACAACUAUAAACGACAUGUUUAAAAUACAUACGGAAGGUAAUCAAAAGUCAUUACAAUAUACUGGAAUUGUUAUCAAGCUAGGACAGUAUGGAAUCAUGUCAUUGUUUUCCUAUUCAUCCAAGAUUUGAUUUGGUCUUCAGAUAAUAAGGUUCAGAUCCUUAUGGCAGCGAUUAUAAUUAUUUCCGUCAGUCAUUGAUCAAACAUUAAGGGAGUUCGCUUCUCGGUUUCAAAGUAAUUAACUUUUCAAAACACUAGUUUAUAUUGAUAAUGGAUUAAUAAAGGAAUCCAAAGAGCAAAAAAAAAAAUAUAGGUCACCGUGCUCGUUUUCGAUAUAUUAGCCAUUGGAAUUUUGGCGCGAAAAUGUUCUCUCUUGACUUUCCAUAACUUUAUUAUUGACAAGUUAAAGUCCUCAAAAACUAUUAAAAAGUAAUUAAAAUUUUAAAAGACUUUAACAGACAGCUUAUCAUUAUACAUGUAAAAGAAUUAUCAAAAGAAAAAUUGGGGUCACCGGGCAAAAUAUGUUUAUGCAUUCAAAUGGAUAAAACCAGAGGAUUCCGAAAAUCUGAAAAAAAUUUCCAAACAUGAAAAGCCACCUUCCUUAAGGGAAGACAUGUAAAAUAUUUAAAUAUCAAACUUAUGUAUGAAGGCAAUUUAUUCUAAUUUGAUUAAGGUUCUUAGAAAGAGGAUUGUAAAGAACUUUAGUAUUUUGUAAAGCUAAGAAUUGUUCUCGUUGGACAACUAAAACACUGUUUGUGUCAUUUGAAAUGAUGUUUAAAUAUCAACAUGAAAUAUUUAUCAUGAUAUGAUUGUAAAUUUGGAAAGGCCAAGCACAAAUAGCAUGCAUAUAAUUUCUUUUUGAUUGUAGAUAAUUAAUAUCUAUCAAUUAAACACUGUAUUCAACAGCUAAAAUGUUACAACACAGGUUUUCUUAAAUCAAUAUGCAGUCAACUCCAGGUUGAAAAAACACAAUGUACGUACGUUUCCGGUAUAUAAACUCAUCAUAUAUACCAGGAUUAAUUUUUUUUAUAUGCGACAAACACGUGUUUCGUCUACAAAAGACUCAUCGGUGAAGCUCGAAUAAAAAAAGGUAAAAAUAAAAACCACAAAAAAUACGAAGUUAAAGAGCAUUGAGCACCUAAAAUUCCUAAACGUUUUGUCAAACACAGCUAAGGUAACAUAUUUCUGUGAUAGAAAAGCCUUAGUAUUACAAAAAUGCAAAGUUUUGUAAACAGUUAAUUUAUAAUAAUGACCAUAUUAAUGAUAAUUCAUGUCAACAAUUAAGUGCUGACUACUGGGCUGUUGAUGCAAGGUUGUAUUUAAAUAUAUCUAGUCAAUAUAAAAAAAGAAGAUGUGGUAUGAUUGCCAAUGAGACAACUGUCCACAAGAGACCAAAAUGACAAAGACAUUAAUAACUAAGGUCACCGUACGGCUUCAACAAUGAGAAAGCCCAUACCACAUAGUCAGCUAUAAAAGGCCCCCGAAGACAAUGUAACAAUUCAAACGAGUAAACUAACGGCCUAUUUAUACAAAAAAUGAACGAAAAACAAAUAUGUAACACAUACACAAACGACAAUUUACUACAUAUCAUACAAAAUAAACACCUUUAUAGACAUUUUGCAGGUGUAUAAUGGAGAAGAUUUACAUUAUCCUAUUUGUUGUUUCAUGCACCCUCUUUGCAUGCUUUGGAAGCACAAUGCAAUGGUGUGAUACCCAAUGUUCAUGCAGUGAUUCGAGUGUUGAUUGCGCACAAAGAAAUCUUAACGAAGUCCCAACUUAUGUGCCAUAUUCAACAACAACAUUGUGAGUAUUUCAAUCAAAUUGCUAAUUUACCUUUAGGUGAAUAAUUUGACCUCAUUGAAUCCGUAUUCUAUUGACGCUACCUUCAAUGUAACACCUUAGCUAAAAAUAAAUUACGCAUAAACUAAACAAAAGGAAAAUAAUGUCAAUAUAUUUAUAUGUUUCUGUUUGUCCUUCUUUGUUUGGAGUUCCUAAUGGUUCACAUAUAGUACAGACUCACGUUUCAAACAUCUUAUUUUGCAGGUACCUGGACGAAAAUAAAAUACAAAGACUGGAGGCCUAUCGUUUCAGAGGUUUGACGGCUCUUACACGAUUGUAAGUAUCAGGAUUGUUUUAAAAACUAAGGCUUUUCUUAUCCCAGGCAUAGAUUAUCUUAGCCGUAUUUUGGUCAACUUUUUGGAAUUUUGGAUCCUCAAUGCUCUUAAACUUUGUACUGUUUGGCUUUAUAACUAUUUCGAUAUGAGCGUCACCGAUGAGUCUUGUGUAGACGAAACGCGCGUCUGGCGUACUAAAUUAUAAUCCUGGUACCUUUGAUAACUAUUUGCAUCAACAUUAAUUCCCAUUUGUUUUGCUGUUUCCCGCCACAAUAGAUCACACUUCUACUUUUAUCCAUGUUAAACUAGUUGUUGUAUUAGAAAAGUUAUUUUCACCUAAGGAACUAUUUUGUUUUAAUUAUUCACUAUUUUUCACUAUCUAUGUUUUGACCGGUCCCGAUUAGGUUCUGUAAGACGUUAUACAGUUUUUGCAAAGAAUCUCACUCAAGCCUGUGCUAAGGACCGUCUAAAACUUGCAGUUAAGAAAGAGUUGUUAAGCUCCGUGUUGAAUGCCUCACUGUGACCUUGAGAUGAGGGACAGCAAUACAAAAUACGUAAUGAUAUAUUUCCAGGACCUUGAUAAUAAUCCAAAUACAUAAAUAGAUGACAAUUGUUGUCACAGUUUACACUGCAUCUUUAUAUAUUAUAUCGUAGCUUUGAGGUCCAACAGACAUGUGUCAUCUGAUGUACAUGUUGACCUCAUUUUCAGUGUAGAUUUGGUGUUGUGAUCUUAUUUUCGCAUGCUUUAUGCAAUAGAUCAACUGUAUUUGGUGUAUUGAAAUGUUUUAUGUUGCUUUUGUCAGUUUGGCAGGUUUCUUUUACUCUUGACCUCAUUUUUACAUUUAAUUGCUCAGUGUUAAGAUUUUAUGUGUUGGUCUAUUUUAGAACAGAAACAGAAUAGAAUUAUUAGCAACAGGUCAAUUACAAUGAACCCUGGUCUUAUGUGCAUGGUUCAUUGGUCAAUGUUAAAUUUUUCUGGUGAUGUUCGUUUCUAAGAAAUUAUUUGCAGUAGUUUAUAAUUGGUGUAUGGAAUGGUUUGACGAAGUACAUUCAUUUCUGCUUAGGUUAAUCUGACCUUGACCUCAUAUUCCUGAAUCAUUGAAUUAUUAUGUGAUACUUGUAGUAAAGAUCAAUAUAUAGGGCUAUCAACAUAAAAUUAACUAUCAGUAAAGCCGGCGAGACAUUUUAGAGUGUGAACCCUUGUUUAGCUGGCCUUGAGAAUAUUAUCUUCUUAUGUAAAUCAUUAAAAUCAUUAGAUUAACAUUUGCCAGAUGUAGAAUUUUAUUCAUAUGCCAGUAUUAACAUGAUGUAUAUGAACUAUUUUUUUUAAUUCAAAUCUGUUUAUAUCAUUUUCAGGGACCUUCAACACAAUUGCAUUUCAUCACUUGGCGC
rnacentral:lncRNA from 1 species